CAGGGAUUGCCUCAGUAACGGCGAGUGANGCGGCAAAAGCUCAAAUUUGAAACCCUCGGGAUUGUAAUUUGAAGAUUUGGCAUUGGAGAAAGCUAACCCAAGUUGCUUGGAAUAGUACGUCAUAGAGGGUGACAACCCCGUCUGGCUAACCGUUCUCCAUGUAUUGCCUUAUCAAAGAGUCGAGUUGUUUGGGAAUGCAGCUCAAAGUGGGUGGUAAACUCCAUCUAAAGCUAAAUACUGGUGAGAGACCGAUAGCGAACAAGUACUGUGAAGGAAAGGUGAAAAGAACUUUGAAAAGAGAGUGAAAUAGUAUGUGAAAUUGUUGAUAGGGAAGGAAAUGAGUGGAGAGUGGCCGAGGUUUCAGCCGCCCCUCGUGGGCGGUGUACUGCCGACGCCGAGUCAUCGAUAGCGAGACGAGGGUUACAAAUGGGAGCGCCUUCGGGCGUUCUCCCCUAACCCUCCACACUGCC
rnacentral:rRNA from 1 species